UGUGACUGCUCUGUGGGUAGAUCAAGCCAGAGUUCUUCCCAGCAGAUUAUGUUCCAGUUGGUGAGAUGAGCAAAGAUGCUGGUGAUGAUGGUGAUAUUGGUAAUGAGAAGUAUUGGAGUCAAUGUUUGAUUUCCCAUACCAGAAGAUUAUCAGGUAGCAAAGGUAUGUGUUUUCAAUAUCUGGGCAUGUAAGGAAAUGGGAGUGAGUUUUAAAAUCCUGCAGGAG
rnacentral:lncRNA from 1 species